rnacentral:misc_RNA from 1 species
GACUAUGAGGUUGAGUAUGCGGAUCAUUGUUCAUCCUUGGGAGUGCUGGUCAGAGACGCAUUUCCAGUAAAAUUCACCAACGGUAGCUCCAUUGCUCCUCCUCUGGUGUUCGGUUGUGGGUAUGAUCAAGAAGUCCCAGCCUCUGAGCAUGCACCUUAUACGGAUGGAAUUCUUGGCCUAGGGAAUGGAAAAUCAAGCAUAGUAUCACAGUUGAGUAGCUUGGGUUUUAUCCGGAAUGUAGUAGGUCACUGUUUAAGCGGGCAAGGUGGAGGUUUUCUUUUCCUUGGAGAUGAUGUUGUCCCGUCUUCUGGGAUUGUUUGGUCACCUAUCGUCCGUGAAUCUUCAGAGAAACAUUAUUCUUUGGGACCGGCAGAUCUCCUUUUUGGUGGGCAGGCAACUGGGAUGAAGAGUCUACCGAUAAUUUUAGACAGUGGAAGUACCUUUACCUACUUCAAUUCCGAAGCUUACAAAACUCUGUUGUCUUCGAUUAAGAAAAACAUAGAUGCAAAGCAGCUGACUGAUGCAGUGAACGACAAAAGUUUGCCCGUCUGCUGGAAAGGCUCCAAACCUUUCAAAUCCCUUAAAGAUGCUACGAGGUACUUCAAGCCAUUGACACUUAGUUUCACAAAAGCUAAGAAUAUUCAGCUUCAACUGACACCCGAAGCUUAUCUUAUUCAUACUAAUAAGGGCAAUGUAUGCUUAGGGAUACUGAACGGUUCGGAGGUUGGAUUAGGAGCUGUUAAUAUCAUCGGAGAUAUUUCUAUGUUAGACAAAAUGGUGAUUUACGACAACGAAAAACAGCAGAUUGGAUGGGUUCCCGCAAACUGCAACAAGCUUCCAUCGUUGUCCUGAAUAUAUCAAUGAGGGCUAUGUAUGCUUAGGGAUACUGAACGGUUCGGAGGUUGGAUUAGGAGCUGUUAAUAUCAUCGGAGAUAUUUCUAUGUUAGACAAAAUGGUGAUUUACGACAACGAAAAACAGCAGAUUGGAUGGGUUCCCGCAAACUGCAACAAGCUUCCAUCGUUGUCCUGAAUAUAUCAAUGA